rfam:Myotis davidii contig207820, whole genome shotgun sequence.
GGCAAUUUUCAGGUGACUCACCAGGAAUCAGGCUCCCUCCUCUCUGUUUCCUGUGCCUCAAUCGAGAACUGCA